AGUGAACGCUGGCGGUAGGCCUAACACAUGCAAGUCGAACGGCAGCACAGUAAGAGCUUGCUCUUACGGGUGGCGAGUGGCGGACGGGUGAGGAAUACAUCGGAAUCUACUUUUUCGUGGGGGAUAACGUAGGGAAACUUACGCUAAUACCGCAUACGACCUACGGGUGAAAGCAGGGGAUCUUCGGACCUUACGCGAUUGAAUGAGCCGAUGUCGGAUUAGCUAGUUGGCGGGGUAAAGGCCCACCAAGGCGACGAUCCGUAGCUGGUCUGAGAGGAUGAUCAGCCACACUGGAACUGAGACACGGUCCAGACUCCUACGGGAGGCAGCAGUGGGGAAUAUUGGACAAUGGGCGCAAGCCUGAUCCAGCCAUACCGCGUGGGUGAAGAAGGCCUUCGGGUUGUAAAGCCCUUUUGUUGGGAAAGAAAAGCAGCAGGCUAAUACCCCGCUGUUCUGACGGUACCCAAAGAAUAAGCACCGGCUAACUUCGUG
rnacentral:rRNA from 1 species